rnacentral:rRNA from 1 species
GACGAACGCUGGCGGCGUGCCUAAUACAUGCAAGUAGAACGCUGAAGAGAGGAGCUUGCUCUUCUUGGAUGAGUUGCGAACGGGUGGGUAACGCGUAGGUAACCUGCCUUGUAGCGGGGGAUAACUAUUGGAAACGAUAGCUAAUACCGCAUAACAAUGGAUGACACAUGUCAUUUAUUUGAAAGGGGCAAUUGCUCCACUACAAGAUGGACCUGCGUUGUAUUAGCUAGUAGGUGAGGUAAUGGCUCACCUAGGCGACGAUACAUAGCCGACCUGAGAGGGUGGUCGGCCAACCUGGGACUGAGACACCGGCCAGACCCCCUCGGGGGGCAGCAGUAGGGGAACUUUCGGCAUUGGGGGAACCCUUGCCGGGCAAAGCCGCGGGGGUUGAGGAGGGUUUCCGGUCGGUAAAGUCUGGUUUUAGGUAAAGAACGGGUUGGGGAUUGAAAGGUCACACUUGUACGGUAGCUUAACAGAAAGGGACGGCUAACUACGUG